AUACGUAGGGGGCGAGCGUUGUCCGGAAUGAUUGGGCGUAAAGGGCGCGUAGGCGGCCCGGUAAGUCUGGAGUGAAAGUCCUGUUUUUAAGAUGGGAAUUGCUUUGGAUACUGUCGGGCUUGAGUGCAGGAGAGGUAAGUGGAAUUCCCAGUGUAGCGGUGAAAUGCGUAGAGAUUGGGAGGAACACCAGUGGCGAAGGCGGGUACAUGGACUGCAACUGACGCUGAGGCGCGAAAGUGUGGGGAGCAAACAGGAUUAGAUACCCUGGUAGUCCACACUGUAAACGAUGAAUGCUAGGUGUAAGAGGUAUCGACCCCUUUUGUGCCGGAGUCAACACAAUAAGCAUUCCGCCUGGGGAGUACGGCCGCAAGGUUGAAACUCAAAUGAAUUGACGGGG
rnacentral:rRNA from 1 species